GUGGGGAAUCUUCCACAAUGGACGAAAGUCUGAUGGAGCAACGCCGCGUGAGUGAAGAAGGGUUUCGGCUCGUAAAGCUCUGUUGUCGGGGACGAAUGUGCAGUAUUUGAAUAAAGUACUGUAAUGACGGUACCUGACGAGGAAGCCACGGCUAACUACGUGCCAGCAGCCGCGGUAAUACGUAGGUGGCCAGCGUUGUCCGGAAUUAUUGGGCGUAAAGGGAGCGCAGGCGGGAAGGUAAGUCGGUCUUAAAAGUGCGGGGCACAACCCCGUGAUGGGAUCGAAACUAUCUUUCUUGAGUGAAGGAGAGGAAAGUGGAAUUCCUAGUGUAGCGGUGAAAUGCGUAGAUAUUAGGAGGAACACCAGUGGCGAAGGCGACUUUCUGGACUGUAACUGACGCUGAGGCUCGAAAGCCAGGGGAGCGAACGGGAUUAGAAACCCGGGUAGUCC
rnacentral:rRNA from 1 species